UACUAUGUACAUGCCUAUAGUGUUAAUGCAACAAAUCCCAUUAGAAUUACGUGGUUAAUCAUGCUUGGUAUGGAGUAGGACUAGGAUGGGUGACCUCCCAAGAAGUCCUAGUGUUUUAC
rfam:Picea glauca, whole genome shotgun sequence.